GGGGAUUUAGCUCAGCGGCAUAAGCACCUGCCUUGCAAGCAGGUGGUCGUGAGUUCAAUCCUCA
rnacentral:tRNA from 1 species